GAGUUGAUUCGGGCUCCGGCCCGAUCCUCCCACCCUUUGUGUACCUACCUCUGUUGCUUUGGCGGGCCGCGGUCCUCCGCGGCCGCCCCCCUCCCCGGGGGGGUGGCCAGCGCCCGCCAGAGGACCAUCAAACUCCAGUCAGUAAACGAUGCAGUCUGAAAAACAUUUAAUAAACUAAAACUUUCAACAACGGAUCUCUUGGUUCUGGCAUCGAUGAAGAACGCAGCGAAAUGCGAUAAGUAAUGUGAAUUGCAGAAUUCAGUGAAUCAUCGAAUCUUUGAACGCACAUUGCGCCCUUUGGUAUUCCGAAGGGCAUGCCUGUUCGAGCGUCAUUACAACCCUCAAGCUCUGCUUGGUAUUGGGCACCGUCCUUUGCGGGCGCGCCUCAAAGACCUCGGCGGUGGCGUCUUGCCUCAAGCGUAGUAGAACAUACAUCUCGCUUCGGAGCGCAGGGCGUCGCCCGCCGGACGAACCUUCUGAACUUUUCUCAAGGUUGACCUCGGAUCAGGUAGGGAUACCCGCUGAACUUAAGC
rnacentral:rRNA from 1 species